UUUGCAUGAAAAAUUUAGCUAUGUAAACUUACCCCUAUUACCUUAGUCCCUUAUGGGGCUUAUGGCUUUUCCUUUGUCUUAGGUGGUUGAGAGACAGAACAGUUUGACUUGAGCACUAACUUUCUCAUUCUUAGCAAGUUUCAUAUCAGAGGUUUUGUGAUAUUUUCAAAAGAAAGCUUAAAUGUUCCUCUUAUGGUUCUCUCAUGUCACUCAAAUGGUGUAUGAUUCCUCACCAAGGCAUAUGGUAAGAGUUGCCUUCUCUAUUUCAUCCUAUUUCUAAAAGGCUUAUGUGGAGUUCAAGGUAGGGAUGAAAGGAGAUAGCAUACUUACUUUGCAUGUGUUGCGAAGUCAAAGCUCGGAUCCUUGAAGAGAAGUGUCAUACUCCCAGAUCAAGAUGUGCAAGUGUGAUAUAUGGUGGACUAGGUUGCUCCUUUAUUUGAUAGACUCUCUAUGUAUUGAGACAUGGCUAGCAUUUUUUUUCUUCUUUUUUUUUAUAUAUGAGCUUUCAUGUGCUCAAUUUUCUUUUUCUGUGGACUUGCACAUGUCCAUCUUUUUAUUUCAUUUUGCCUAGCCUUUUGAUGUCUCAUUUACCAAAUAAUGCUUAGAGAGAUGUUCUAACAUUUAGAGUAUGGAGCAACCUAUUUAGUGGAUGCGAAAUACAUGUGGUUGCGUACUUCCAGUGUAGAAGCAGCAUAUAUAUAUGUGGUGUGUACGUGAUCUUGAUCUUAGGAGCAUGAAAAGUCUCUUAACAAGGGUCAACAAGACUUGACGACACUCAACACAAAGCAAAUAGCUUAUGUGGAAAGGUUGCAAUUAUGUAAAGUAGAUAUGGCUGUGGUAGGAAUUCAUCACCAUUGAGGAACAAUUAAGGUUUUGAUCAUUUUAAGAAUAAAUCUCUGAUAAUCAUGCAUGCUUAGAAAAAUAUUAUAGUAGCUCUUGUCUUACUAUCUCAUGUCCCACAA
rnacentral:lncRNA from 1 species